rnacentral:lncRNA from 1 species
AUCAAAUGAUAGAGAUUUGCAAUCUAGUCUUCCUCCACGUGCACCAUCAACAUUGGGUAAACGAAAACCUAAUAGAUUAACUUCUUAUGUUUGGGAUCACUUCACUCUAUUGGGCUCAAGGGAUGAUUCAGAUGUGAAGUGUAAAUGUAAUUAUUGUGGAGUAGAUUAUACUUGUGGUACUAAGAAGUGUGGUACUAGUACAUUGAGUAAUCAUUUGACAAAUCAUUGUAAGAAGUAUCCAGGUAGAUUAGUGGAUAAGAAGCAAAAAACCUUAUCAUUUGAGAACAAGAAAGAGGGUGGAGGGAGCAAUCUUAUUGUUGUUGGUCAAACCAAGGAAGAGUGUAGAGUUGCAUGUGCUAAAAUGAUAGUUUUGAAUGAAUUACCUUUUAAGUUUGUUGAAGCUCGUGGUUUUAGGCUCUUUUGUAGUGUAGCAUGUCCUCAAUUUCAGGCUCCAUCUCGUAGGACUCUUGUUAGAGAUAUUUAUCAGUUGUAUUUAGAUGAAAAAUUGAAAUUGAGAGAUGCAUUUUCUUUUAACCGUCAAAGGGUUUCACUUACAACUGAUACUUGGACUUCUAUUCGGAAUAUUAAUUACAUGUCUCUUACAGCACACUACGUUGAUCUUGAUUGGACGCUUAAUAAACAUAUUUUGAGUUUUUAUGUUGUUCUAAAUCAUAAGUGAGAAACAAUUGGAAAAAUGAUUGAGUCUUGCUUGUAUGAUCGGGGGAUAUAGAAAAUUUUUGUAAUAACUGUUGAUAAUCAAGCUCCAAUGACACAGCCAUUUCUUAUCUUAGGUGAAAGGUAGUUUCCUGUGGUAGUGAUGGAUGGGUUCUAGAUGAGAGGUAUUUGCACUUGAGAUGUUGUGCGCACAUCAUCAAUUUGAUUUUUGUUGAAGGCUUGAGGAAAGCACAUGACUCCAUUGUGAAUAUUCGCAAUGCAAUCAAAUAUGUGAAAUAUUCUCCCUCUAGGUAUGAAAAAUUGAAGGAGUGUGCAAGGAAAGAGAAGAUUGAUCGCAAUUCUAUUGUGUUUUUGGAUGUUCCAACUAGGUGGAAUUCUACCUAUUUGAUGUUGGAAAUGGCAUUAAAUUUUGAAAAAGCUUUCGAUAGGUUAGAAGAAGAGGAUGCUUAGUAUUUGCAUUACUUUCGAGAUAAUGAUAAUGGUAGAAGGAAGGGUGGACCUCCGUCAAAUUUAGAUUGGGAAAGCACAUCUGUUUUUGUUAAAUUUCUUGAAAAUUUCUUCAAUGUGACUUUGAAGUUUAGUGCUUCAUUGGAAGUUAGUGCUUGUACUUAUCUUCAUGAAAUUUGAAUGGAAAUUAAGGGAAAAUUACUUGUUGUGUGAAAUGGCGACUAAUAUGAAGAAGAAGUUUGAUAAGUAUUGGGGUAAAAUGGAAAAUGUGAAUCAAUUGUUGCUUUUUACUACUAUCCUUGAUCCAAAAUACAAAAUGGAUUAUGUUGAAUAUUGUUUGAAUGAUCUAUAUAUGGAUGGAGAAGUUGUUAGUAAUAUUAUGAAAUCUUUGAAAGCCAAUUUGAUGGAUAUUUAUGAGUGAUAUGUAAGUCACGAAAGCAUUCAUGGAAGUAGUCAAGCAUCAACUGAAGAGUCUUCAAGUUCAAUCAAUACUUAUGAAGGAUCUUCUUCUUCUGUAAGUGAUGCUCGUCUUUCUAGAUUGAUGGAAAAACAAGCAAUUAAGGAUAAGGAUGAGAUAAAAAAAAUGAUGUUGAACGAUACUUAUUAGAUGCUCGUGAAAGCAUAGAGAAUAAGGAUUUUGAAGUUCUAGAUUGGUGGAAGGUGAACGGAAAUAAGUAUGGCGUCUUGUCCAAUUUGGCCAAAGAAGUGUUGGCAAUUCAAGUUUCAACUGUUGGUUCAGAAAGUGCAUUUAGUACUGGAGGAAGGAUACUUGAUCCUUUCCGUAGUUCCUUAAGUCCUAGAAUGGUUGAGGUCUUAGUAUGCACUCAAAAUUGGUUGAAGGCUUCUCCAAACUUGGAUGGUUUUUGCAUGGAAGAUGUUGAGCAUUACAACCAAAUGGAUGAACUUUUAGAAUCAAUGAAUUCAAAAUCAACUGAAGAUGACCAAGGGGCCAAUGCUAAGUGGUUCAUUUCAUUUUACAUGGUUUCACUUUUGAGAUAGGCAUAUUAAUCUGUCAAUAAUUUCAUGAUUUGUAUAUUUCCAACAAUUUUCUUAUUUUUGUAGCACUAAUUUGUACAAUUUUUAUGCUAACAGGACGCUUGAUACUACCGAGCUCUAGUAUUGCAGAAUUAUUUUUGCUAUAUAUUAACAUAGUUGACCUUGGUCACAAUUGCCAUUCCUGGUAUGUUUGUAAAUAAAAACUUUAUGUCUCUAGUCUUAUUAAAAUCCUUUCUUCUCACUGUUUCUGUGAGAUGUCUUAUAAUUCAUUUAGUCAGACUCGAAAUAUGCAUAUCUACAAUCACCAUGUUAUGCUAUAUGUUUUUUGAAUCUCAGAAGAUUGGCAACUUUACUUGUUUUUGUCUGAAAAGAGGUGCCUGGACUGGAACCUCUUUAUCCCUCAAACUUUCUAGCCUUAAGAUCAAAGAUUUGACACAACCAUUUAGCAUUCUCAGGUAAUACCCUCCUCUAGAAUUCAAAGAAUCUCAUUACUAAUUUUAGUUCAUAUCACGUCAUAGUGCGUGCAAGUAUAUAUCCAAGAUCAAGCUUCUAAUUCAAUAGAUGGCAAUGCCUGCAGAAUUUACAAUGGAUGGCAACUCUUUAAUUUAAGUGAAUCAAGUUUUUAUGCUUCUUUUAUGCAGACAGAUCAAGCUUCCAACAUUUUCAUUUUUAUAUGAUAUGUUUACUUGUACAGAUCAGAAUCAACAGCUGCCUUUUUUGUUGGGAUUUAUCUGGAGAUUGCAAACUGAGGUCUGAGAUGCAAUGGAUGGCAGCUCUUCUAAGAUGCAAUAUUUACAAUAGAUGACAGCCCUUUGGAGAUGCAAAGCUCCUGAUGAAUCAUUUUGCUUAUUUAGCUGUCUAUCACAAGUUUACCGUCUAUAUUAGUUUCCAAGUUUAUUGACAUUGGAUCAUGACUGUAUUAGUUGUAUUUGGUUGAAUUUUUAUUCGAAUAGUUGUUACCCGUACUAAAUAUUAAUCUUAUU